rnacentral:rRNA from 1 species
GGCGAACGGGUGAGUAACAUAUCGGAACGUACCCUAUCGUGGGGGAUAACGAAUCGAAAGAUUCGCUAAUACCGCAUACGACCUGAGGGUGAAAGCGGGGGAUCGCAAGACCUCGCGCGACAGGAGCGGCCGAUAUCGGAUUAGCUAGUUGGUGAGGUAAAGGCUCACCAAGGCGACGAUCCGUAGCUGGUCUGAGAGGACGACCAGCCACACUGGGACUGAGACACGGCCCAGACUCCUACGGGAGGCAGCAGUGGGGAAUUUUGGACAAUGGGGGAAACCCUGAUCCAGCCAUUCCGCGUGAGUGAAGAAGGCCUUCGGGUUGUAAAGCUCUUUCGGCAGGAACGAAAAGGUGCGGGCUAAUACCCUGUAUCAAUGACGGUACCUGAAGAAGAAGCACCGGCUAACUACGUGCCAGCAGCCGCGGUAAUACGUAGGGUGCGAGCGUUAAUCGGAAUUACUGGGCGUAAAGCGUGCGCAGGCGGUUUUGUAAGACAGAUGUGAAUCCCCGGGCUUAACCUGGGAACUGCGUUUGUGACUGCAAGACUUGAGUGCGGCAGAGGGGGGUGGAAUUCCACGUGUAGCAGUGAAAUGCGUAGAGAUGUGGAGGAACACCGAUGGCGAAGGCAGCCCCCUGGGUCGACACUGACGCUCAUGCACGAAAGCGUGGGUAGCAAACAGGAUUAGAUACCCUGGUAGUCCACGCCCUAAACGAUGCCAACUAGGUGUUGGGGAAGGAGACUUCCUUGGUACCGUAGCUAACGCGUGAAGUUGGCCGCCUGGGGAGUACGGUCGCAAGAUUAAAACUCAAAGGAAUUGACGGGGACCCGCACAAGCGGUGGAUGAUGUGGAUUAAUUCGAUGCAACGCGAAAACCUUACCUACCCUUGACAUGCCAGGAAUCCCGGAGAGAUUUGGGAGUGCUCGAAAGAGAGCCUGGACACAGGUGCUGCAUGGCUGUCGUCAGCUCGUGUCGUGAGAUGUUGGGUUAAGUCCCGCAACGAGCGCAACCCUUGUCAUUAGUUGCCAUCAUUUAGUUGGGCACUCUAAUGAGACUGCCGGUGACAAACCGGAGGAAGGUGGGGAUGACGUCAAGUCCUCAUGGCCCUUAUGGGUAGGGCUUCACACGUCAUACAAUGGUCGGUACAGAGGGUUGCCAAGCCGCGAGGUGGAGCCAAUCCCAGAAAGCCGAUCGUAGUCCGGAUCGGAGUCUGCAACUCGACUCCGUGAAGUCGGAAUCGCUAGUAAUCGUGGAUCAGCAUGUCACGGUGAAUACGUUCCCGGGUCUUGUACACACCGCCCGUCACACCAUGGGAGUGGGUUUCACCAGAAGUAGGUAGCCUAACCGCAAGGAGGGCGCUUACCACGGUGGGAUUCAUGACUGGGGUGAAGUCGAAACAAGGUA